ensembl:lncRNA
UUCCCUGCUGUGACAAGGCAGGAUCAAUAUCUCCUGCAACAGAUUCCUGCAGUUCAGGGUUCUGAAAGUCUAUGUUAUAUUGAUGCUUGCCUGUUAGUUUAGCUCAGUGCCUAGUGAUGAAUUUCUACUGUCUAGGAGUAGGUUUAUGCUAAUCAGAUUGGAGCUAGGCACGUUGGUGUCCUUCCCUUUGCCUCAAUCCAUCCCAUAAGAAAUCGAUGGAUCUAUUCUUUACUCCUUAAUCUUACAAGCCGUAUUGCUUUCAGCUGGCUGUUAAAUGGGUUUGGCUCCAUCUCGACAGCUCACACAGUCACGAUGUUACUCAAGUCUUUGUAUAUUUCAGAUAAAUUACUCGCAGCAAACACAGGCUGAGCCCAGCCAUGCUGGUGGCUCUGGGCACUGAGCAGAACUGCAGCACAAGCCCACUUUCAGGCUUUUUGUAAGCCCACAUCUCUUUUCUGGCUAAGAACUUGAGGCUGAACUGCUUGGAACUGCUCUUAUCUCUGUUACCAUACGCUGUGAGCCCAGUACUGAGCUCCAUGGUUUGAAUUAAGCCUCUUUCUCUGCACCAGAGAUGUUCCUCGUGCAAGAGGACUGUCCUGGCAUCUCCUCUCAUCCUUCUUGGGAAAGGAAAUCCUGAGCAAUGUGGUGUGAUCCAAGUGGCCCUUCCAUCUCCGCUAUCAUCAGAAAACACCAUGUGCUUCAUGGGCAUGGCGCUGUGAAAUGGUUCCAGCUGUUCAACCCCGUGGAGAUGGACAAAAGUCAGAUGCAGAGUCUCUCCAUCCACCUCUGGGCCUGGCAGAGGAUGCUUGAGGUGGGGCUGGAUGAACCACAGCACUUUAAAGCAAAGUUGAAGGCAAAACGGCAACAUUUUCUGUGCUUGUGAGGCUGUGCUCCUGUUAAAAGUCACUCAUAUGGCAGCCAUCAAAAAGGUUUGGCUUUUUGCAUGUGAAAAAAAAUGUUUGUAUUAUUAAAAGAACAGUAUUCUGUGCCUUCUUCAGAAGGUAACGUGCACCAGAAACAAGCACUGUACUUC